CCUACGGGUGGCUGCAGUAGGGAAUCUUCCACAAUGGGCGAAAGCCUGAUGGAGCAACGCCGCGUGGGUGAAGAAGGUCUUCGGAUCGUAAAACCCUGUUGUUAGAGAAGAAAGUGCGUGAGAGUAACUGUUCACGUUUCGACGGUAUCUAACCAGAAAGCCACGGCUAACUACGUGACAGCAGUCGCGGGAAUACGUAGGUGGCAAGCGUUAUCCGGAAUUAUUGGGCGUAACGGGAACGCAUGCGGUCUUUUAAGUCUGAUGUGAAAGCCUUCGGCUUAACCGGAGUAGAGCCUUAGAAACGGGGAGACGUGAGUGGAGAAGAGGAGAGUGGAACUCCAUGUGUAGCGGUGAAAUGCGGAGAUAUAUGGAAGAACACCAGUGGCGAAGGCGGCUCUCUGGUCUAUAACUGACGCUGAGGUUCGAAAGCGUGGGUAGCGAACAGGAUUAGAUACCCCUGUAGUC
rnacentral:rRNA from 1 species